GACGAACGCUGGCGGCGUGCUUAACACAUGCAAGUCGAACGGAAAGGCCCUGCUUUUGUGGGGUGCUCGAGUGGCGAACGGGUGAGUAACACGUGAGUAACCUGCCCUUGACUUUGGGAUAACUUCAGGAAACUGGGGCUAAUACCGGAUAGGAGCUCCUGCUGCAUGGUGGGGGAUGGAAAGUUUCGGCGGUUGGGGAUGGACUCGCGGCUUAUCAGCUUGUUGGUGGGGUAGUGGCUUACCAAGGCUUUGACGGGUAGCCGGCCUGAGAGGGUGACCGGCCACAUUGGGACUGAGAUACGGCCCAGACUCCAACGGGAGGCAGCGGUGGGGAAUAUUGCACAAUGGGCGGAAGCCUGAUGCAGCAACGCCGCGUGCGGGAUGACGGCCUUCGGGUUGUAAACCGCUUUCGCCUGUGACGAAGCGUGAGUGACGGUAAUGGGUAAAGAAGCACCGGCUAACUACGUG
rnacentral:rRNA from 1 species